UUCUAUGUUCCGGUGUACUCAUUCAUGAAAAUUUGUGUUGACAACUGCCCACUGUUUGACUGGAUCAGCCAAAGCUAUUACGGUAGUGCUGGGGGAGUAUAAAUUAGGAGGAAGCAAUGGCAUUCUACGGCGGGUGGUAACAGGAGUUCAAAGUAUCAUAACUCACCCAGACUAUGAGGCAGCGAAUCCUAUUUUUUACGACAUAGCCCUCCUCCAAGUGGAAAAAGUCCCAAUUACUAGCUUUCCUCAUGUGAACUUAGUUUGCCUGCUAGACAGUGAUAUUCUGUACAUGAACACACGGGCGUGGGACUGCUACACUGUAGGAUGGCAGGGCAAAUCAGGAUUUCUGAAACGCAUUGAGGCCAACAUCGCUUCGAGGAGGCUGUGUCACAUCUAUUCUCACGCUUUUUCCAACUCCGCUAGUGCCAAGAAUCCCCACAAAUAUUACUGGUCACACGGCUAUCACUUGCUGGAAUAUCUUUUCAGUCCGCAAAAUCCUGAAAUGAUCUGCACUGAUUCGAAUGACGGGAGAAACUGUGUAG